GAUGAACGCUGGCGGCGUGCCUAAUACAUGCAAGUCGAGCGAACAGACGAGGAGCUUGCUCCUCUGACGUUAGCGGCGGACGGGUGAGUAACACGUGGAUAACCUACCUAUAAGACUGGGAUAACUUCGGGAAACCGGAGCUAAUACCGGAUAAUAUAUUGAACCGCAUGGUUCAAUAGUGAAAGACGGUUGUGCUGUCACUUAUAGAUGGAUCCGCACCGCAUUAGCUAGUUGGUAAGGUAACGGCUUACCAAGGCAACGAGGCGUAGCCGACCUGAGGGGGUGAUCGGCCACACUGGAACUGAGCCACGGUCCAGACUCCUGCGGGAGGCAGCAGUAGGGAAUCUUCCGCAAUGGGCGAAAGCCUGACGGAGCAACGCCGCGUGAGUGAUGAAGGUCUUCGGAUCGUAAAACUCUGUUAUUAGGGAAGAACAAAUGUGUAAGUAACUAUGCACGUCUUGACGGUACCUAAUCAGAAAGCCACGGCUAACUACGUG
rnacentral:rRNA from 1 species